UGCUCCCCCAGCCAGGGUAAAGUCCUCAC
rnacentral:piRNA from 1 species